rnacentral:misc_RNA from 1 species
GAUGAAGAACGUAGCGAAAUGCGAUACUUGGUGUGAAUUGCAGAAUCCCGUGAACCAUCGAGUCUUUGAACGCAAGUUGCGCCUCAAGCCAUUAGGUUGAGGGCACGUCUGCCUGGGCGUCACAUAUCGUUGCCUGAUGCCAGUUUCCUCGUGAUGGGUGACUGUGCAGGGCGAAUGAUGGCUUCCCGUGAGCAUUGUUGCCUCAUGGUUGGUUGAAAAUUGAGUCCUUGGUAGGGAGCGCUGUGAUAGAUGGUGGUUGAGUGACGAACGAGACCCAAUCAUGUGAGACCCCUACCGAAUUUGGCCUUCAUGACCCACAUGCGUCUUUGGAACGCUCAUGACGAGACCUCAGGUCAGGCGGGGCUACCCGCUGAGUUUAAGCAUAUCAAUAAGCGGAGGA